GACGAACGCUGGCGGCGUGCUUAACACAUGCAAGUCGAACGGAAAGGCCCUGCUUUUGUGGGGUGCUCAAGUGGCGAAAGGGUGAGUAACACGUGAGUAACCUGCCCUUGACUUUGGGAUAACUUCAGGAAACUGGGGCUAAUACCGGAUAGGAGCUCCUGCUGCAUGGUGGGGGUUGGAAAGUUUCGGCGGUUGGGGAUGGACUCGCGGCUUAUCAGCUUGUUGGUGGGGUAGUGGCUUACCAAGGCUUUGACGGGUAGCCGGCCUGAGAGGGUGACCGGCCACAUUGGGACUGAGAUACGGCCCAGACUCCUACGGGAGGCAGCAGUGGGGAAUAUUGCACAAUGGGCGGAAGCCUGAUGCAGCAACGCCGCGUGCGGGAUGACGGCCUUCGGGUUGUAAACCGCUUUCGCCUGUGACGAAGCGUGAGUGACGGUAAUGGGUAAAGAAGCACCGGCUAACUACGUG
rnacentral:rRNA from 1 species